AUUGAACGCUGGCGGCAUGCCUUACACAUGCAAGUCGAACGGCAGCACGGGUGCUUGCACCUGGUGGCGCGUGGCGAACGGGUGAGUAAUAUAUCGGAACGUACCUUAUCGUGGGGGAUAACGCAGCGAAAGCUGUGCUAAUACCGCAUAAGCCCUAAGGGGGAAAGCAGGGGACCGUAAGGCCUUGCGCGAUUAGAGCGGCCGAUACCUGAUUAGCUAGUUGGUGAGGUAAAGGCUCACCAAGGCAACGAUAAGUAGCUGGUCUGAGAGGACGAUCAGCCACACUGGGACUGAGACACGGCCCAGACUCCUACGGGAGGCAGCAGUGGGGAAUUUUGGACAAUGGGGGCAACCCUGAUCCAGCAAUGCCGCGUGAGUGAAGAAGGCCUUCGGGUUGUAAAGCUCUUUUGUCAGGGAAGAAACAGCAGCUCUAAUACAGUAUGCGAAUGACGGUACCUGAAGAAUAAGCACCGGCUAACUACGUGCCAGCCGCCGCCGUAA
rnacentral:rRNA from 1 species